GACGAACGCUGGCGGCGUACUUAACACAUGCAAGUCGAACGGAAAGGCCCUGCUUUUGUGGGGUGCUCGAGUGGCGAACGGGUGAGUAACACGUGAGUAACCUGCCCUUGACUUUGGGAUAACUUCAGGAAACUGGGGCUAAUACCGGAUAGGAGCUCCUGCUGCAUGGCGGGGGUUGGAAAGUUUCGGCGGUUGGGGAUGGACUCGCGGCUUAUCAGCUUGUUGGUGGGGUAGUGGCUUACCAAGGCUUUGACGGGUAGCCGGCCUGAGAGGGUGACCGGCCACAUUGGGACUGAGAUACGGCCCAGACUCCUACGGGAGGCAGCAGUGGGGAAUAUUGCACAAUGGGCGGAAGCCUGAUGCAGCAACGCCGCGUGCGGGAUGACGGCCUCCGGGUUGUAAACCGCUUUCGCCUGUGACGAAGCGUGAGUGACGGUAAUGGGUAAAGAAGCACCGGCUAACUACGUGCCAGCAGCCGCGGUGAUACGUAGGGUGCGAGCGUUGUCCGGAUUUAUUGGGCGUAAAGGGCUCGUAGGUGGUUGAUCGCGUCGGAAGUGUAAUCUUGGGGCUUAACCCUGAGCGUGCUUUCGAUACGGGUUGACUUGAGGAAGGUAGGGGAGAAUGGAAUUCCUGGUGGAGCGGUGGAAUGCGCAGAUAUCAGGAGGAACACCAGUGGCGAAGGCGGUUCUCUGGGCCUUUCCUGACGCUGAGGAGCGAAAGCGUGGGGAGCGAACAGGCUUAGAUACCCUGGUAGUCCACGCUGUAAACGGUGGGUACUAGGUGUGGGGUCCAUUCCACGGGUUCCGUGCCGUAGCUAACGCUUUAAGUACCCCGCCUGGGGAGUACGGCCGCAAGGCUAAAACUCAAAGGAAUUGACGGGGCCCCGCACAAGCGGCGGAGCAUGCGGAUUAAUUCGAUGCAACGCGUAGAACCUUACCUGGGUUUGACAUGGAUCGGGAGCGCUCAGAGAUGGGUGUGCCUCUUUUGGGGUCGGUUCACAGGUGGUGCAUGGCUGUCGUCAGCUCGUGUCGUGAGAUGUUGGGUUAAGUCCCGCAACGAGCGCAACCCUUGUUCACUGUUGCCAGCACGUUAUGGUGGGGACUCAGUGGAGACCGCCGGGGUCAACUCGGAGGAAGGUGGGGAUGACGUCAAGUCAUCAUGCCCCUUAUGUCCAGGGCUUCACGCAUGCUACAAUGGCUGGUACAGAGAGUGGCGAGCCUGUGAGGGUGAGCGAAUCUCGGAAAGCCGGUCUCAGUUCGGAUUGGGGUCUGCAACUCGACCUCAUGAAGUCGGAGUCGCUAGUAAUCGCAGAUCAGCAACGCUGCGGUGAAUACGUUCCCGGGGCU
rnacentral:rRNA from 1 species